GUUAAAUUAUCGAAAUGAGUGCGAUGGUGAUACAAUCCUGCUUUUCAAUUAGUUGACAUGGUGUUUGACAUGAAAUUAUAAGCAGAUCCUUGCUCCUGAUAUCCUGAUGUAUGGGUUGCACUUCAUUAUAUGACUCCAACAGAACACUCACAGAAAGGAGAAUGGUGUCAAACUACAAGACAGCCAGCAUGUAAACAAGGCCUUGUUUGUCCUUGUUUGGCUACUCAUUUGUUUACUUCCUGAAGAGGCUGAAGCAUGCUGGCCUUGACACCUCAGCCCUUGCUUCCAUUAACAGGUGUUUUACGGAGCGCAUCCUCACAUCAUGAUCUACUGCAGCGGUGGAGACGGAGGACAAUUGGCAGGUUGUCAGCUGUUGUCAGGCUCAUCACCAAAGCAGAAAGACAUAGUGAGACCAGGCAUGCCAGGAAGGAGCAAGGCACAGGCCAGGAAGGAGCAAGGCAAAGCCCAGGAAUUUUUCUGCAGCUGUUCCCGCCAGCUAUAGAAGGACUGCUCCUGAGAAUAGAUGGGUGUCUACAUUGUUUUGCAAAAUGGGUCUUCUACACAUGAUGCUUGUCAAGCACUGCUCAUUGACUGGCCAGGGGUCCUCUGUAUUGUGGCCACUGGUCAAAGGCGCCACAUGACUGUCUCAGAGUCCUCUACAUCAUUCCGGUGACGGGACU